ensembl:lncRNA
GAUUAUACUCAAAAUUGUACAUUUUGUCAUAUUUUUGCCAAACCUGCCAGGGAUCUACAUUACUUGUUUGUGAACUUCAGAUUAGAAUUAAGACAUAAUUUAUUUAAUUCCAAGCACUUCACACUUCACUGUCCUACUUCCACCAGGAUGGGGGCUCUUCUUAUUGCCCUUGUUCCUGUACAUCAGUAACAGCGUCUCCAGACCCCUCACCACAGCCUCAACAGGAACGGUGACAGGCCUGCAUAUCCUAAGUUUAACAUCUUUGGUGCAGCUAUAACAACCUUGACCUGAAAUAACUAAAGACCGUGGAGUUUACAAAACACUGAGUGGGCGCGGCACACCUCCUUCACAUAUGACUGGAACCUAAUAUUGAUUUCACUGCGAAAAAGCCGAGAACGCCAGACGUGCCUUAGGAGCAGAUCUACAAAACCACCAAAUAUGAGCACUCUCAAGUCAGAGGCGGUCCUAGUUCAGAAAAAUCCAGUUUAUUGAAACAUUUCUCUGAGGUAAUGCCAGGGGCACUCAUCCGCAAUUUCCACACUGUAGUCCUGUGGAUUAUCCAACUUCAAAUGCA